GUGUUCUCAUUCAGGAAUACAGAUACUAAAAUUGGAACAAUUCAAAGAAGAUUAGCAAGGCCUCUACACAAGAAUGACACACUGAUUUAUGACAUGUUCCAUAUUCUC
ensembl:snRNA U6 U6 spliceosomal RNA